rnacentral:sRNA from 1 species
UUCCCCUGGGAGUUGGCUUGGAUUUUACUCAUUGAGAAUUUGAUUUGCUUGGAGUUGCAUUGUCAUCAAGCAAAAGUCAGAUAGCUAUGCUGUGGUGCAAGAACAGGCCAGUUUCAGGAGCCCCUUUAGGUGCACAGAUAAUCCAAAGCACUCCCCUAUGUUAUCUGUGUACCAUUCUGCAAGUGCUGUAAAUCAACAUCAUUUUCUCUCAGGUAAUUUCAGCCUCAAUGGGGUUAGGAGAAAUGACGAAAUUCAGAUGGGUCUGGGAAUAUAAGAACAGGUAGCCCUAUGAGAAGCCAUGUUCAGAAAGUGGAACAGACGUUUUAGUUAACCCAGUGAUUCCACAACAAGGAGUAGGUGUUACAAUUGCAACUAGGGAGCAUCAGUGUUGUAGUGGUCCCAGAGCAGCCUUGAAGGAGAAUCUAUCCAGAUGUCCAUCAGCCAAGGAGUAAAAGUGUACCGUAGGGUGGAGCCCUUCCAUGCAUUCUGAUUCAGUGUGAGAUAAUCCAUGCAAGCUUUUACUUACUUACUCAAAAUAUCUGUGGCACAAUCACAUUACGGGGAGAAAAUUUGUUGAUUUGGAUCCUGGUUAUGGAGAUUUCCUAUGAUUCUAGCUUUGGGCAUGAAGUCACUCAGGCUAUGGUAAAGACAGCUCCGAUUAGAAGAAGUUGCACACUUUGGGGAAAGUCUGAAAGAGUGAACAAGAACAAGAGUCUAGUCCACCACCAGUAUAUGAUCCUUUGCUGAGCAACAAGACAGCUCUACACAGCCUUUGGGACUUGCUAAGCCAGAUUGUUAAUGG